UGAGACAUUGUAAGUGACGUUAUAAUUUUGUAAAAAAAAAAAGAAGAAAAAAGCUUCUAAGAGGGCCAUCUUGUGGUUGGUGUGUGCUGCCGUGUUGGGCCAUGUUGACCCGGUAUUUUAAAUAGUUUCUCGCAACGCUAAGUCACCAAACUGAAAGAACAGCGCGCCCGAGCCUCAGUCGGACUUGACGGCCACCAGCCCAACCCCUCUCGCCGCCAGCCUCAGCACCAUGGCCACACUGCAACCAACCACAGCACAGCACUCGAGUCAGCACCGCUACUCAGUGUUACCUCCUGUUAACUCAUACCGACAGCUCUCUCACAUUUUAAGUUUCAUCACAAGUUUUUGUCAUCAGAUUUACUACGUGUUUUAUAAUUUCUGUAAAAUUCAUGUCACUCAUGUGACAUUUUAGAGCUCAAGAAUGAUAUUUCAUAUGUGUACAGUAUUGUUAUGAAACUAAACAAAAAUUGCAUAAGAGCUAUUGCAAUACAUUUACAAGAAGAGCCCUUAAAUAAUAAGCUGGACUUAAAAUGAUCCGUCGCAUCCGUUCGUUUCCCAUCCAUCUGUUAAGACAAUCAGAAGACACAGAAAAUUUCAUCCAUCCAGUUGUCCAUCAAAAGCUUCCCAAUCUUUAACUCUCGAUGGACGGAUGGAGAAAAUUAUCACCUCCAAAAUGUUAGCAUGGUAUUGCAGGCAACCUUUACUAUCAUAAACAUUUCUGAAGUUUGUUUAUUUGUUUAGCUGCUUCCAUUAAAUGUUUUAAACUUACAUCUGAACAGAUUUAAAAUUUUGAUUUUUGAUCCUAAAACUGACAGAGACAGAAGUGUAAUUGAUUAUGUAUGUAUAGUAAAAGUUAUAAAUAUCAGAGUAAAAAAAA